rnacentral:sRNA from 1 species
GGGAUUCGUUAUUUUUAGUUUGGAUUUAUGGUAGCAAAUUGUGCUGUAGUAAAAAAGAUUCAGAAAUUCUUAUAAACAUACAUGAAAGCAUUAAAUUAUAUGUCGUUUAUUAAUUAAAUUAAUGUAGGAAAGUAAAGCAAAAAUAUGCAGCCAAUACAAAAUUUAACAUUUCUCAGUUUAUUUUUUAUAAAUUAAAAAAAAUAUCUUAAUUUUCUGGUCAUUUCAAAACUGAGAAUUGACAGAAUAAUUUUCUUUUGAAAAUUCUUUGUGCAUUUAGAUUUUUUACAGGAUUUUUCUUUAAUUCAUUUUCAAAUAUUUUUGAGUAGAUAAUCUCAUGUCUUGUCAAUUGAAAAAAAAAAUGACAAGAUUGUUACCAACUGCCUAUUUAUAUUACUGAUACACAUUUCUGCUUGUUUUGCUCAUCAUCGUGACAGUUGAGAGAGAGAGAGAGAGAGAGAGAGAGAGAGAGAGAGAGAGAGAGAGAGAGAGAGAGAGAGAUGUAGAUGUUAUGACUGUUUUAUUUGAGUGAAGAAUGUACUUGCUCUCGUGAUGGUUCUUUGUAAAUGCAAAUAUAAAGAAAUUUCCUCU